UUCCAGACUCCUACGGGAGGCAGCAGUGAGGAAUAUUGGUCAAUGGCCGGAAGGCUGAACCAGCCAAGCCGCGUGAAGGACGAAGGUGCCAAGCAUUGUAAACUUCUUUUGUCAAGGGACAAAAUCAGGCUCGAGAGCCUGACCGAGGGUACUUGAAGAAAAAGCAUCGGCUAACUCCGUGCCAGCAGCCGCGGUAAUACGGAGGAUGCGAGCGUUAUCCGGAUUUAUUGGGUUUAAAGGGUGCGUAGGCGGUUUGAUAAGUUAGAGGUGAAAUGUCGGGGCUCAACCCCGAAACUGCCUCUAAUACUGUUGGACUAGAGAAUAGUUGCGGUAGGCGGAAUGUAUGGUGUAGCGGUGAAAUGCUUAGAGAUCAUACAGAACACCGAUUGCGAAGGCAGCUUACCAAACUAUAUCUGACGUUGAGGCACGAAAGCGUGGGUAGCAAACAGGAUUAGAUACCCCGGUACC
rnacentral:rRNA from 1 species